UAUAAAAACCAAAUACCUGAAGGAGAGAUAGACGAAAACUACGCUCUCUCUUAGUUUACAGUUGAUGAUAAAUUCCUUAUCUUUUGUCUUUAUUCCUCAUUCUUUGCCUGCUCUAUUUUGUAUUAAGUGUCACUACUAACUUUUGUUUGUUUUUGUGGUAAGCCAAAAAAAACCGGUGCUGCACACAAGGAAAUUGAAUAUCGUUCAUUUUCGAAUAUUGAGGUCUUUAUGUAUCUCCUCAUUUUUCACAAACCAAGGAGCACCUGUUAUUAGUCUCAGAGUUUUUGACUGGUAACGUUGGACUAUUUCCACAUUGGAGUGACUUGCUGUUCCCCAGAGUUGUAAAGCGCUUAGCUGCGAUUUUUUACUAAAAAGCCAAUACAUCCUUUUUGUUUUCUGGUUGAGUUGCUUCACUUUAGAGAGUAUAUGUGAUCUCCAGGUCAACCUUCUGUCAAGAUGUACACCAAGAUAUUUCACAGUCGUAUUUUGUGGUAUUUGAGUACCACAAAGAUUAACAGGAGGACAGUCUCCUUUUCUAAGAGUGAACGUUACCUGUGUAGAUUUUUGGGGGUUGACUCUAAUCCUCCAUUUGUGCAUCCAUUUCUCUACUUCAUAAAGCUCUUUCUGUACAUUCAGCGACGCUCCUUCUGGGGUCAGCGAUGUUGCAAUUAUAGCUGUGUCAUCAGCAUACGUUGCAAUGCUUACAUCUGCCAACACUGGCAAAUCGGCAGUGAAUAUUGUGUACAGAACCGGACCUAGCACACUGCCUUGCGGCACACCAGCAUUUAUGGAGUAUAUAUUAGAUGUCACGCCUUGAUUUACAACAUAAUACUAUAAUAGAUAAGCACAGACUAUUUUGCUUACCUAACUGUUAAGGGCACCAAGGCAGCAAAACAACCAUGUCGCCGCUACGGCGACAGCGGAUUUAUUGUUAGCUUUUUAAUGUCGCAAAAACGGCGACAACGGAGUGCAAAGGGUUAAGUUCUUUCGGCUGCUGCUAUAGUGAUGAGGAAACAAAUGGGACGCGUCCUUACUAAUUUUACGAAUAAUACACGUUUAUGAAUCAUAUACGUCUACAUUUUUAGCUGCCAAAACCAGUCGACUUGAAAUAAAACUGAAUACUAGGCACACGAGAUAACCAUUUAUUAAGAUUGAUGCGGGAAAGAAAGCAGCUGUAACUCAAACUUAAGGUAAGGUGUCGAUUGUAAAGGACAAAGAACAAAUGAAACAGUUACUGGAAAAACGGGAAAUAUUUAGUAUAAUGUAUAUCGCUUUGAUAAAAAGGUUAAAAGGGGGGGAUAGAGGGGUGUAUCACCAUCUUAAAACUGAAAACCGAACCUGCCGGAGGCUUAUAGUUUUUAAGUAAUUUAAUGUUAAAGUUCUCUUAUUUAGUGAAAAGUUGGUGUUGCCAUACACAAUAAAAACGAAGUUCGUAUGCAGGGAUGUUCAAUGGAAGGUUCAUUGUAAAACUGCAGUAUUUUUUGCUGUAAUUUAAAAUUGAG